rnacentral:rRNA from 1 species
AUUGAACGCUGGCGGCAGGCCUAACACAUGCAAGUCGAACGGUAACAGGAAGAAGCUUGCUUCUUUGCUGACGAGUGGCGGCCGGGUGAGUAAUGUCUGGGAAACUGCCUGAUGGAGGGGGAUAACUACUGGAAACGGUAGCUAAUACCGCAUAACGUCGCAAGACCAAAAAGGGGGACCUUCGGGCCUCUUGCCAUCGGAUGUGCCCAGAUGGGAUUAGCUAGUAGGUGGGGUAACGGCUCACCUAGGCGACGAUCCCUAGCUGGUCUGAGAGGAUGACCAGCCACACUGGAACUGAGACACGGUCCAGACUCCUACGGGAGGCAGCAGUGGGGAAUAUUGCACAAUGGGCGCAAGCCUGAUGCAGCCAUGCCGCGUGUAUGAAGAAGGCCUUCGGGUUGUAAAGUACUUUCAGCGGGGAGGAAGGGAGUAAAGUUAAUACCUUUGCUCAUUGACGUUACCCGCAGAAGAAGCACCGCCUAACUCCGUG